GCUCCAGUGGCGCAAUUGGUUAGCGCACGGUACUUAUAAGACAGUGUUCGUGUGAGAUAUGCCGGGGUUGUGAGUUCGAGCCUCACCUGGAGCA
rfam:Danaus plexippus plexippus isolate F-2 unplaced genomic scaffold DPSCF300025, whole genome shotgun sequence.